GAAUGAGCAGGCCAUCUGGUCACAACAUCUGUUACUGAACUGGUUGCCAGGAUUGUUUCCACUGAUCUGACUGGCUAAGUGGGCAUCCCUUUCCUCCUCAUGUCAGUCCCUCCCAAAGCCUAUGGGUGCAAUGGAGUCUUCCUUUUCUUUGGUUAAGUGUAUCUGAAUCCUGACGCUUGCUUGCCAGAAACUUAAAGCAAGUUCUCUUCUCACAAGGGGCCACCACAGUAAUGCUGUUUCUGCCUACCUCUUAUAGGUAUUGUGAAAAUCAAAUGUAAUAA
rnacentral:snRNA from 1 species